CGGGGAAAGAGCGGAGGAGAAGGAAGUGGGGAGCGGCGGAAGCCGAUUGGACGCUAGCACCGGAAGUCGUGUGGCGGCUGGCACCCUCCCGCUGGGCGGGGUUGGGGCGGGGCUACAGGCGUGGUGGGCGGGGCCAGGCGAGGCGAUAGGCGGUGUUACAGCCGCUUUACUCGCCGGGUUUCGGCGGAGCCCAGCGCGGUGCGGGGGCCCCGGGCGGGCCCCCGCGGAGGAUCCACGCUGUCCCAGUGGCAAGGGCGCCGCCCGCCUUCCACGCCCCCCGGCCUCUGUGGGACCCCAAAGGCUCUCUGGGAAACUAGGUGCUGCUAUCAUUCAACGUUAGAGCUGAGUCACUGACACAUUGGGAAACAUGGACUGAUGGUGUAACAGCAAACUGUAGAAAGGGCAUUCAACAAUUUCCCUCGUAUCCCAUUGGCUCCAGUGAGCCUAUUGGUCACACCUAUCUCCAAAGGAGACCGGAAGACAUGGGUUCCGAGGGGCUCAUGAAGAGGAGGAAAACAAAGAUGGGAUAACAGUCCAGGGUCCCCAGCACGCUGGAUUAAGAAGGAGGUACCCUGCGGAAGGUAUUUGCGUGGGGCCAAAGAUACCACACUGCUCUCGUGUCUCUGACUCCUCCAGACACUGGCUCUUUUUGCAUCCAUGUCCUCUGGACCAUUCUCUGUGUCCAGGACAAACUCGGUGCUAUGACUGGCCAGGCCUUGGCAAUGUGCACACCCUCAAGGCCAAGAGGACAGCUUCUAUGACUAAAAGAAAGGAAGCUUGCUGGACUAAAUAAGACAAGAAAUUAAGGAUCUGUCUUCCAAGUACUGAAGGUGAGGCUCAGCUUUCUUCUUCACCAAAAUCAAAGAAUCCUAUAGAAUGUCAAUGGGCUUACAUGCUGUGUUAGCAAAUGUUCAUGAUCUGUUUUAUUUUGUACAUAUAAUAAGACUGUUGGCUGGUGUGGUCAGUUUUAAACAGCACAGACAUUGAAACCAGAAGCAUCUGGAUUUAAAAGCAGCUCUACCACUUGUGAAUAAAAAUAAUGUCAUCACUACUGAUACACGUAUAUCAAGCAUGGUACAUUAUAUACAUUGUCCCCUACUUCUGUUUCUCACACAAACCCUCAAAAGGUUGUGUCACCAGCUUUCAGAUGUAGAAACGGUAGCACCAAGCCGUUGAUGAACUUGCUGAAAGACGGUCAGCACGGGAGCCAUCAACAGCCAGCGUGGUUUUUAACCCUGGAGACUUGAUCAGUACGAUAAAUUGCUUUUCCAUGUUUCCUUGCUUUGAAAGCACCUAGAGAAAUUUUAGUUUGCAAUAGUAUUAUCUGUGACUUUUGACAAGUUACUUAUCUUUUCUGAGCCUCGCUUUCUUUAUCUGUAAGCUUAGAAAUUUGGGGUUUGAAUAUUUCUUGUGUUUGUUUCAACGUGAAGAUCUGAGAAUAUAACAUUCUUUCCACUGUUAUUAAAUUUCACUGUGUUAACAGUAGAUGGUGCUAUUGAGUACUGGCUUUAAAACCCAAUAAAAACAAUUCUAAUUACUAAA